rnacentral:rRNA from 1 species
CCCACAACGCCUUGCUUGGCCACACCCCCAAGGGAUUCAGCAGUGAAAAAUAUUAAGCCAUAAGCGAAAGCUUGACUUAGUUAAAGCUUACUAGGGCCGGUAAAACUCGUGCCAGCCACCGCGGUUAUACGAGAGGCCCAAGCUGACAGUUCCCGGCGUAAAGAGUGGUUAAUUAUCUUUCAUACUAAAGCCGAACGUCUCCAAGGUUGUAUAACACAUUCGAAGACAUGAAGACCUAUCACGAAAGUGGCUUUACACUCUUUGAACCCACGAAAGCUAGGGAACAAACUGGGAUUAGAUACCCCACUAUGCCUAGUCUUAAACUUAGAUAGAACUCUACUUACACCUAUCCGCCAGGGUACUACGAGCAUUAGCUUAAAACCCAAAGGACUUGGCGGCGCUUCAUACCCACCUAGAGGAGCCUGUUCUAGAACCGAUACUACCCGUUUAACCUCACCUUCUCUUGUUCCUACC